GUGGGGAAUUUUGGACAAUGGGCGCAAGCCUGAUCCAGCAAUGCCGCGUGCAGGAAGAAGGCCUUCGGGUUGUAAACUGCUUUUGUACGGAACGAAACGGUCCGGGUUAAUACCCUGGGCUAAUGACGGUACCGUAAGAAUAAGCACCGGCUAACUACGUGCCAGCAGCCGCGGUAAUACGUAGGGUGCAAGCGUUAAUCGGAAUUACUGGGCGUAAAGCGUGCGCAGGCGGUUUUGUAAGACAGGCGUGAAAUCCCCGGGCUCAGCGUGGGAAUUGCGCUUGUGACUGCAAGGCUGGAGUGCGGCAGAGGGGGAUGGAAUUCCGCGUGUAGCAGUGAAAUGCGUAGAUAUGCGGAGGAACACCGAUGGCGAAGGCAGCCUCCUGGGAUAACACUGACGCUCAGGCACGAAAGCGUGGGGAGCAAACAGGAUUAGAAACCCCGGUAGUCC
rnacentral:rRNA from 1 species